rnacentral:rRNA from 1 species
UACGUAGGGUGCGAGCGUUAAUCGGAAUUACUGGGCGUAAAGCGUGCGCAGGCGGUUUCGCAAGUCAGAUGUGAAAGCCCCGGGCCCAACCUGGGAAUUGCAUUUGAAACUACGAGGCUAGAGUGUGUCAGAGGGGGGUAGAAUUCCACGUGUAGCAGUGAAAUGCGUAGAGAUGUGGAGGAAUACCGAUGGCGAAGGCAGCCCCCUGGGAUAACACUGACGCUCAUGCACGAAAGCGUGGGGAGCAAACAGG